rnacentral:ncRNA from 1 species
UUCCGCGGGGGAGGGUCCCCGGGCCGGUGCCCCGCCUCGGCCGGCGCCUAGCAGCCGCCUUAGAACUGGCGCGGACCAGGGGAAUCUGACUGUUUCAUUAAAACAAAGCAUCGCGAAGGCCCGCGCCGGGUGUUGACGCGAUGUGAUUUCUGCCCCGUGCUCUGAAUGUCAAAGUGAAGAAAUUCAAUGAAGCGUGGGUAAACGGCGGAGGUAACUAUGACUCUCUUAAUUGACCUCUGCCCCAGACUGGGUGUUAUAGCUUCUCCCUCCCUAUCGAUUGGCCUCACCCUUCAUUCGACAGUAUUUAUUGCGGUGAUACAAAUUUCUGGCUUCGAUUUCGUAUCGUCGCCCUAAACCCUUGCCCACGGGGAAAAUAGUUGGGCCUAGCCUAACUGCCUUAGAGGGUGGCGCAGUUUUGGCUUGGUUACACCCUCACAUUGAUUUGACCAAAUGGGCCGCCGAUGCG